UUGAAGACCCCUCCCAAGCUGGAGGGGGAUGCUACUGAUGGCUCCUUUGCCAAUAAGCAUGGCCGCCAUGUCAUUGGCCACAUUGAUGACUACAGUGCCCUAAGACAGCAAAUUGUGGAGGGCAAGCUGCUGGUCAAAAAGAUAGUGUCUCUUGUGAGAUCAGCAUGCAGCUUCCCUGGCCUUGAAGCCCAAGGCACAGAGGUGCUAGGCAGCAAAGGCAUUCAUGAGCUUCAGAGCAGCACCAGUGCCCUGCACCAUGCCCUAGAGGAGUCGGCUUCCCUUCUCAGCAUGUUCUGGAGAGCGGCCCUGCCAAGCACCCACAUCCCUGUGCUGCCUGGCAAAGUGGGAGAAUCAACAGAAAGGGAACUUCUGGAACUGAGAACCAAAGUAUCCAAACAGGAGCGGCUCCUUCAGAGGACAGCUGAGCGUCUGAAGACUGCCAACCAGCAGAAGGAGAGCAUGGAGCAGUUCAUCGUCAGCCAGCGUAGGUUCCCUGAGAGGGAAUGGGGGAAGAAACAGGCAGUCUUCCCGAUGCCCCACUUGUGCUGCUGAUGAGCAGUGACCUGGCGGGGUUGGAGAUGUUGGGAGUGGAGACUGAUUUGAUGUCCCUAAACCUCCUGUGCCACGAGCAAUUG
rnacentral:sRNA from 1 species